rnacentral:misc_RNA from 1 species
AACGCACAUUGCGCUUCCUGGUAUUCCGGGGAGCAUGCCCGUUUCAGAAUCAUUAAGUGUCUCACACUGACCUCUGGCGUCGCAAGGCGCCGGGGCGGCAGGGUGGAAGCUGGAUGUCUUUUGCGCCGCUCGGCGCAAAUCAUCUGAAAAUGAUGGUGCGUGCUGCCGAAUUGUGUCGGUUUGCCCUCAAAGUGCAACAGAAUCACAUCUAUUCACGAUGGGGACGAGCCGGAAGCAAGUCGGCGUGGCGCGCACUCACCAACGUCACAGCUGGCACAAGCAAGUGCCUUCUGAAAACUUGGUCUGAAAUCGGGCAAGAAAACCCGCUGAACUUAA